rnacentral:tRNA from 1 species
GGCAAUAGAAAGAAGCGGUUUUCUAAGACUGAAAAUCCUUGUGUCGCUGGUUCGAUUCCAGUUCUGGCCA